rnacentral:lncRNA from 1 species
GCGGAAAGCAUUUAACAUUUGCUGUAACUCUUUGUUGCAGAAAGUAUAUGACCAACAUUCCUGAUAGCAAUAUUCCCUGAACUUAACUGCUGCCUGCCCUUGACAGUUGAAUGUUCUUCCAAAGCCACUGGAGUUUCCUGGUUCCUGCUCUCAUCGCCCACAUCUGCAGUGGUAGAUGAACUUAUGACCCCCACAAAGACACA